AUUGAACGCUGGCGGCAGGCCUAACACAUGCAAGUCGAGCGGAUGAAGGGAGCUUGCUCCUGGAUUCAGCGGCGGACGGGUGAGUAAUGCCUAGGAAUCUGCCUGGUAGUGGGGGAUAACGUCCGGAAACGGGCGCUAAUACCGCAUACGUCCUGAGGGAGAAAGUGGGGGAUCUUCGGACCUCACGCUAUCAGAUGAGUCUAGGUCGGAUUAGCUAGUUGGUGGGGUAAAGGCUUACCAAGGCGACGAUCCGUAACUGGUCUGAGAGGAUGAUUAGUCACACUGGAACUGAGACACGGUCCAGGCUCCUACGGGAGGCAGCAGUGGGGAAUAUUGGACAGUGGGCGAAAGCCUGAUACAGCCAUGCCGCGUGUGUGAAGAAGGUCUUCGGAUUGUAAAGAACUUUAAGUUGGGGGAAAGGGCAGUAAGUUAAUACCUUGCUGUUUUGACGUUACCAACAGAAUAAGCACCGGCUAACUUCGUG
rnacentral:rRNA from 1 species